ensembl:lncRNA
AGUGCAGUUCUCUGGGCUCAUGUGGUUUCACCAUAUAUGUGUUCUCCUCUUGACAAGUUUUCUCCAUCCUAGAGGAAGGGCCCCAGCUGCCAAACAAAGGGGCUUGGAAGAAAGGGAAAGUGGUGGCAUCGCUCUUCUGCUCUAAGAGCCAAGAUAGAAAACUGGAUUGACCACUUUUUUCCUCUGUUUUUCCAGAAGGAAAUGGUUUCCAGGAAUACUGAUCCUGACUCACUUACCAAGGCAAUGGGCUUAUGGUAUUUGACCCUCAAUGUUCCUCCUGUGCUGCCUGCCAUUCUUCUUUGAUUUGUCUCCAGCACAGCAGCGUUACUUUUAUCACAAAGGAGAAUGACAGAAAUCAAGGUCUUCAUGUUAAGCAUAUUAUUCUUAACAGCUUAGAGAAUUUUCCCACUGGAUUGCCCUAUUGUAUUUUAAAUUUUAUUUUAGCUCUAUUUUCUCGUCUGUAAAGUGAAGGGGUUAGGCUACGUUCUUCUCAUUCUAUGGUACUGUGAUUAGGAGAAUGGGAGGUGAAGAAAGAAUCAGAGCUGCAAGUGAAUAUGAUUAUCACAGAAUCACAAGUACAGUGUAUUAUGCAUGUUUUAAAACUAGAUAUAGUAUUUAUAUUCUAAAGUGUUUCCUUAUGAAUUACCUUCAUCCUUCAGUGUACUGUUUAGUCUUGCUGCAAACAUAAUCCUUACACAAAUCCAAAUCAAUUUGUUUGUCCUCUAUGUAAGAUACUUAAAAUUUUCAAAAUGUGUUUAUGUCCAAAGAUGAAAUGUUUAGUUUUAUAGAAUUCUCUCAGUUGAUAUAGAGCUUUCUAAGACUGACUGUAAAUAUCCACUAAAAUCCAUUCUCCCCCUUACUCAUGACUUUUGAGAGGACUUAAGCAUUAGCGAUCAUUUUAAAUUUAGUGAUUCCAUAUUCUUUAUUUAAUGCCUCGCUGCUCUAUUUGAAACCAAACCAUACAUUUCAACAUUUAAGAACAAAUGAAGUUUGAAAAGACUUGUAUUGGGUUCAAUAAUUUUUCUCUUAAAAAUACUUCAAAUAUUACUAAUUGUUCUUAUUGCACAGAGAUGCCAAACUGGUGGUCAGAGUAGUUAUCUGCUAAACUACUUAUAUCUUAGCUGAUAGAACAAGAGGAACUUAAAAUAUUCAGAGACUUAGAAUACAAUGAGAUUCGUACAGUUUGCUCUAAUAAGCCCUUGGAUAAACGGUGACUUUUGAAAGACUCUUGAAUUACACAUCCAGGCUUCAGAUUUGGACUUUGGAAAGCAGUAGCAUCAACAUCAAUAAAAGGGGUUGGUGGAUGCA